CCACAGUGUUGACUUCAGUUCAAGCAGCCUUCUACUCUGUGAAUUAAACUUUGUGGCACUGAAAUUGGCUGAGCGAAAUAACUAAAUAGUGUUACUCUAUUCAUAUACUUCUAACCUACACAA